CACUACCAUUUUUAGCAUUGCUGAUAUUUUCUUUGUGUUUAGUACCAAUUUUCUCAGCAGUUGUGUUAAUUUGUGUGAAGUAAGGUGGUUAAGUGUUUAGUGUGGUGUAAAGUGCGAAAGUGGAGAUACAUUUGUGUUAGAACGCGCGUGUGCGACACUCACUAACUAACCGGAAACAC